AAUCAACGCUGGCGGCGUGCCUCAGACAUGCAAGUCGAACGAGAAAGUCCCCUUCGGGGGGUGAGUAAAGUGGCGCACGGGUGAGUAACACGUAGGUAAUCUACCUUCGGGUGGGGAAUAACCCAGGGAAACUUGGGCUAACACCGCAUAAUGCAGCGGCACCACAUGGUGACAGUCGUUAAAGCGGGGGAUUUUAGGACCUCGCGCCUGAAGAGGAGCCUGCGGCGGAUUAGCUAGUUGGUAGGGUAACGGCUUACCAAGGCGACGAUCCGUAACCGGCCUGAGAGGGCGGCCGGUCACACUGACACUGACAUACGGGUCAGACUCCUACGGGAGGCAGCAGUCGGGAAUUUUGGGCAAUGGGCGAAAGCCUGACCCAGCAACGCCGCGUGAAGGAUGAAAUCCUCGGGAUGUAAACUUCGCAAGAAUAGGAAGAAUUAGUAGGGCUAAUACCCUCUAUGAUGACGGUACUAUUUGUAAGCUCCGGCUAACUCCGUGCCA
rnacentral:rRNA from 1 species